rnacentral:rRNA from 1 species
AUACGUAGGGGGCGAGCGUUGUCCGGAAUGAUUGGGCGUAAAGGGCGCGUAGGCGGCCCGGUAAGUCUGGAGUGAAAGUCCUGUUUUUAAGAUGGGAAUUGCUUUGGAUACUGUCGGGCUUGAGUGCAGGAGAGGUAAGUGGAAUUCCCAGUGUAGCGGUGAAAUGCGUAGAGAUUGGGAGGAACACCAGUGGCGAAGGCGACUUACUGGACUGUAACUGACGCUGAGGCGCGAAAGUGUGGGGAGCAAACAGGAUUAGAUACCCUGGUAGUCCACACUGUAAACGAUGAAUGCUAGGUGUAGGGGGUAUCGACCCCUUCUGUGCCGCAGUCAACACAAUAAGCAUUCCGCCUGGGGAGUACGGCCGCAAGGCUUAAACUCAAAGGAAUUGACGGGG